UGCAGUUUCUCAAGUCACAAAGUUACUGUGUCAUAUCUCUUAGGUUGCAGACCUUGUCUAGAUCACUGAUAAUAUUGAGACACUCAUGAGUGAGGAAUAGUGUUGAUGGCCUUUGUCUGCUAAACAGAGACACAAUUCUUUGAACAGAAAGCCAGCCUGACUUUCCUUAGGAAGAAGUGCCAUAAUCAGGAUAGAAAGAAUAUUUAGCAAUAUUAAAAAUAGUAAAGAACUCCAGAUGGGGAAAAUUCUGGACUCCACAGUUUGAGACUUACUCCAUUCAAAGUUAACAUGUUUUUUCCCCCACAGAAAUCAUCAUUUUCUGCACAUAAAUAUUUUCUGCACAGAAGGUGUUGUUUCCUACACAGGAGAUACAGUUAUCAGUACAAAACAACUAUGAGCAAAAUUUGAACAGAAUGAAUUGAAACCAAGUAGAAUGUGAAGAGCUCUGUCCUGAAAGUAGCACUCUUCAAUAUUUUAUCAAUGAGUUAUAUCAUCAGAUGGAGGAAAUCCUUAUCUAAUUGUGAAGAUCAAAAACUGGAAUAGCUAACACAUUAAAAUAUUUAUUUUUAUAUAUAUAUAUUUAUUUAUUAGACUUGUAUACCGCUACUCCCAGUUUGGCUCGGAGCGGUUAGCAAUAGAAUUCAAAAGGACCUUACUAUACUAAAAAAAACAGGGCUGAAAUUAAUAAAAUGAAAUUCAAUAGAGGCAUUCUACAUUUAGAUCACAAAAGACAAAUGCAGAGUAUAGAAUGGGGAUGGGGGAUAGGUGGUUUCAACAUGUGAAAAAUGCAUUGAGAUAUUAUGUUCAUAGGUAGAACAUAAGCCAGCAAUGAACCUGCAUUAACAGAAGCAUAGUUUGCAAAUGCGGUAAUAGUCCUUCCAUAUUCUGCACUGCUCAGACCUCAUCUGGAAUAUUGUCUUCAUGUCUGGACUCCUUAUUUUAAGGAGAAUAUAGAUAAGCUGGAGGAAGUUCAGAGAAGGUCUAGAAGAAUGACAAGAUGUAUGUAACUAAACAAAUGAGGAGGGAUUGAUGGAGUACAAGCUAGGCUAAGUGGGGCAAGCUAAGGAGGAGGUAGGUACUCCUGUUUUUCUGUAGUAUCUGUUGCCUGAGGCAGUGACUUCAGACAACGCCAGCCCAUCAUUAGUCAAUAUGUUCCUUGUCCUCAGAGAAAAAGAAAUUAAUCUCAUCUAAUUGAUGCUUAGCUGAAAGAAAAAUCUACAGCUUCUAUAUUCUUACUUGUGAGUAAAUGUUUGGAAGAUCUAAAGAUGCCAUAGUACUAUUCAAGAGUAAAUGAUCUGAGAUUGUUCAAUAUUGGAAAUGGAAUUACCUUUGUAUGUCAUUAUGUCACCAAAUUCAGCACAGGUCUUCUUGUAUGCAAGAACUUCUUAUUUGUGUCUUGCUCAAUUCAUGUUUCUCUUUGGCAAAACAACACAAUGGUUUACUAUGGCUGUGUUUCCAUACUUGUGUUUCAUUAUGGAAAUAAAAUAUAUUGAGUUUAGGGCACACAACAUACUCUUAUGUGUUAGCACUUGCUUUAUAUGAAAGGAAAAACACAUAAUAAACCAAACAAGAAGACAUUUCCUAUGUUGUUUGAUCAGGCUAUAUUAGAAUUUGGGUACUGUUGUUUCUGAAGAUAUGGGUCUCAAGAGAAUUGAGUUUUAGUUAAUAGGAAAAGGCUAUGCUGUAAUUUCCAGUAAAACCCUAAACUUGAAAGUUCUCCAUUUGUUGUCAGACAUGCACAGGUGGUGACACAUUUUGGCUGGUCUGCUGAGUUAGAAUACUCACUUGAUUUUACCUUAACAAUCACCAGUGAAGUUCAUGUUGAAAACAUUGUUUCCAUGUGCAAACAUAAGUGUAUUGUACUCCUAAAACAACCUUGUAAUACAUCCUCCUAUUGUGAGUUGAUUUUGAUAAACUGUUGAAUUCACAUCACACAUUAUCACAAGUCAUUUCUCCUGAAUGUUUCCAAUGCUUCCUAAAUAUGGUCAGAAUUAUAGUUUGAUGUCUCCCCAAAAGCCUGUAUCACAUAAAGAUAACCUGAGUAGAAUUCUUAUUCAAACAAACAAAACCACAUUUUCUUUAAGCCAUAGCCUUCUGUUCCCACACUUCUUGCACAAAAAGUCACAUAUAUUACUACUAACUAAUGUUGACACUAAUAUUACUACAGUAGAGUCUCAUUUAUCCAACAUAAACGGGCUGGCAGAACGUUGGAUAAGGGAAUAUGUUGGGAUUAAGGAAAAGCCUAUUAAACAUCAAAUUAGGUUAUGAUUUUACAAAUUAAGCACCCAAACAUCAUAUUAUACAACAAAUUUGACAGAAAAAGUAGUUCAAUAUGCAGUAAUAUUAUUUUGUAAUUACUGUAUUUAUGAAUUUAGCACCAAAAUAUCACAAUGUAUUGAAAACAUUGACUACAAAAAUGUGUUGGAUACUCCAGAAUGUUGGAUAAGUGAGGCUCUACUGUACUAAUAUAAUCUAUGGAAACAUAUUAUAAAAGAUAGCCAAAGCCAGAUAUUGCGGCUGUAAUAAUCAACAUUGGUAUCAUUAUCAUUGCCACCAUCAUCAUUCUGUUUUAGAUGUUCAUAAUGGACCAAUCUAUUUACAUAUCUACUCAUAUGUAACAGUAAGAAGUACCACUAUACAAAAAUCCAGGUUGUACACGUCAAUUUAUAAGAAAGGCUGAAUUACUUAGGAAUUAGUCUGGAAAACAAGUUCUGAAACCAUUCAAAAUUAUUUACAUAUAAUUAUAAUGAAGAGGAGGAUGUUUCAUAUACUUUACUAAAGCACUCCUUUUGCAGCCACUUUUUGAAUGUUUUUGGAUUGAUCUGAUUUUAAUUUCAUAAGUACAGAAAGGGUAGUGGUGAAAAUCUGCUCACACUAAGCAAAAUCAGGUAAUUCAGGAUACAUUCAAGAAUUCCGCUCAGGCCCCUUGACUCAACCAAAGUGGGGGUGAACAGCUUAGGAACUGUGAGGGAAUUCUAAUCCUGAAAGUUUCUCAAUUUGAGGUUGGAAUGCAGCUUCUCUAAGCAAUUACCCUGGUUACGGCUCAUGGUGAGUUAUGCAGGGAACUCAGGUGUCUUGUCCAAGUCAGCUGAGGAGUGAGUCUGAGAUUACCACUGCCUCAACUUUCACAACAUCAAGUUCAAACCCCCACUUUUAGUUCAUGAAGAAAGUUUAAAUAGAUAACAAUUCAAUAAAAGUUGCACAUAUUUAUCCUGUUAUUUCAUUGGUGGGUGGGCAAAAAGUCCACUGUCAAAAAUCUCUGAAUCUCACUUAUUGGGGAGAAAACUUUUCAUUUUUAAAAAUGUUUACAUGCUGGAAUGAGGAAUGCAUUUUUUUCAUGCCACCAAUGUACAUGGAGAGGUGCAGUUUCUGGCCGCCCCGCUUUAUAUACCUUUAACAGAAAGGGGAAAAGUAGGCACGCCAAACAGCCAGCAUCAACGAAGCAGACCAGAGAUAAAGUUUCCCCUCUUUUGCAAAGUACAAGAAAAUUCAACAACACUGCCACUUUUGAUAGAUUAGCCAACAUAUGCUUCUUAUGCAUCAGUCUACCACCUCAAGUGUUAUUCUGCCAUUGUAACUGCCACUAGAAAAAUCUGCUCAUCUUCAUUCUCAGUUGUAAUAGGAAACAUUUUUGUGCUGAAACCACAUAUUAUAUCUUGUCUAAGAUCUCAUUUUUGCUAAACAUAUUUUUUCCAACCUCAUCUCACAUGACUUGUAUUCUGAAAAGCCACAUAUAAUAUUUGUCCUUCUCCGAAUACCAUCUGUUGCUAACAAUACUUCCUGAGAUGUGAUGCCAAAACCAUAAGAGUACUUUUAACUAGGUGUGAUUUGCUUAGUUGAGACAUUGCUUUGUCACCAUGUGACAUGGUUACUGUGUUUCUCUGCUCAUGUACCCAAAAACAAAAUGGUUUUUCUUUUCUCAUUUGUCAAGAAUUUGCCCAUCUUCUCAUUACUGUGGAUACUUUAGCUAAUGCAAAUAUGAUAUUAGCUGAUUUAUCCUCCCUGUUAAACUAAUUGGAAAUCACCUUGCUGGGUGGACAAAAAUGUAAAGUUAUUUUAAAGGCUAAGGCAAAAAACCACAGAGAGGCUUUAAUUUUCUUGUUCUAGACUAUGUUAAAUGACAAAAUGAUAUUUUCCUUACAUAAAGUCAAAAGGAGUUUUGAAUUCUAAUCCUUCAGGAAAAGGAUUAGAAAAAAAUUAAUGUAGUCAUUUCUUUAUUUGGUGGUGAUGAUCAUGCACCAAGGAGAUCAUUGGAAGGGCUGUUCUUUCACUUCUAGUCAAUUUCCAUUUAUUAUCAGAGGUUUUAAAUGAUGUGCUCUUUUUAUUUCUCACUUUCUGUUAACAAAUACCAUAUAAUUAUGAGGUUUCUCAGGCUCAGGUUUCCAAAAUAUUUUAUAGAUGUCUUGCCAGCAGCAAAGAUGAUUAAAGGUUUAUAUGUUUAUACAGAACAGCUCUGCUGAAAAUAUGAAAGAGGACCUUGCUAUACUUAAGUCUUUUCGGAAAAAAUAAUCAUGUGUCACUGAAUAUGUGCUCAGCUUGAGAACAUUUAGAAGCUAGAGUGCUGAUGUUUUGAAAAUUAUAUCAAGCAUUUAUGAAAUCCAGGUCAAAGAACUAUUUCUUCUACCUCUUCUGGUCAAUGUAUAUUGUGAACCAUUUGGAGGUCUGGUUGCAUUGCACAAAUAUCUUAAUUAGGUAGUACAUUAAUCAGUCUCAAAGUAGUGCUGUAUGAUUCAUGAGCCAAAGUGUUUUGUUUCACUAUGCUGAGAACUAGGUUCAGGGUAUCAUGAAAGCUAUAAAAGGAAAGUCAAGCUGUCCAUAUUGUUGCUGCUGCUGUUGACACUUGAAAAAGGGGGAAAGGGAGCUAUGUUUCUGUUCCAUUGUUUAGAUUGAGCUCCAUACCCAAGAAACUGUUGGAGAAUUUCUUUUUCCCUGGAGAAAUGUGGUGAAAGGUCCUGCCAAUUUUUCUGCCCACAAAUAGGGUGGAGAAGUUCAAAAGGCCAUCUGCACACAGGUGUGUGAUGCAAUAAAAUGUGAGUAUUAAUAAAGUCUUUAUUGACUGUUUCCAAAUAUUUAAUUAUGGAUUUCUUCUUAUGUAAUGAACUUUUUUGUCCUUCCAGGGCCAAACAACCAAUAUUAUAUUUAAUUGCAUCAUUUAAAAAUAACAAUGGUUAUUCUCUACAUUUUUACUGACUUCAGUGCUAUCUUGAGGUAAAACAGCAAAACCUGAACCUUUUCUAUGAACAUUUGUCUUCAAUGUAGAAGUUCAAUCUUGCCUAAAAUUUAGAAUUAAGCGUAUAGAUAGACUUAUGCAUCCAUUGCACAUGCCUACAGUUGAUCUUACCUAGUUAUAAUUGUGACACUUCCAGACCUACUUCAUCAUAAACCAGCAAUUCAGAGACAAGGAGGUCCACUCAGUUGGCGAGCAGGGCAUGAGUAAGUGAUGCUUCCACCCAUUUCCACCAGAUGGCAAAGAUGCAAUGACCAGAAGCAGGACCCCUCUUACACUUUUUGUUGUAGCCUUGCUGAUUGGAAGGUAGGAGAUGGAACAGUCUGGGAGGAACUAGUUUUCUAAGGUGGCUAGCUACUAGGUAUGUGCGAUCCAGAAAAAAAUGGUUCUAAACUCUGUUUGAAAGUAGGAGCCACUGGCGCUUCGUUUCUCAAGUCAUUUCUGAAUUUUGAAGGCAAAAAGUUCAAAACUUUCUGAAACUUCCGAAUAUUUGUAUAUAUUCAUUAAUGACAGAAGCAGAUGCACAUGAAGGAAAACAUUACUUUCAAUGGGGAAACUUGAGGGGCUUUUCUCUGUGUCAUUUUUGAGCUAUCCUGAUGAAACUUGCUACAGUGGUAGAACACAUUUACCACUGUUAGCUCACUAAAUUUCAGAGCGUUUGACUUCUCAGAUUUUUGAUGAAUUUUCAAAAUUUUUAUACAAAAACAUUAUUUAAUAAUAACAAAAAUCUGUUCCUGGUUUGAAAUUGUUAUUUCCUGUUUCAUUGGGUUGUCUUUACUUUGAAAGUCAUUGUUCUACUUCAGAAACUUUGUUUUUGUGGCUGAAACUUUAUUAAAUUGGUGGAGACUCAACAAACCAUAAUGUGCUAUUUAUAGGAUGAUGUCCCUUGCACAAAGACAAAGUUUUGGAAGUGUAAUAAAGUUUUGCCAUGUUUUUUUUUAUGACAGAACCAAUUAGGAAAUGGCAUUUAUCACCCAGGAACAGAAAUCAUAGUACACCAUCCAACCACUCCCGGAAGAUAGUUCUUGGUUUGAAAGUGUUAUUUCCUGUUUGUUUGGGUUUCCUGGGGCUGAGAGUAUGUGACUUGCCCAAGAUCCAUGGCUGACUGGGGAAUCAAGCCACAAUCUUAGUCCAAUUCUCAAAUCUCCCUCUUUCUCUCUCUGCCUCCCUCCCCCCUCUCUCUAAACUUCUCAUAUCUUCCAAGAAUUCACAGAUGAAAACAUCCAAGUUUGGUCAAGAUGGUAAUUUUUAAAGCUAUUGGGGUGAAACUUGCUACAAUUGCAGAACAUAUUUGCCACUCUUUGCCUAUAAAGUUUCAUAAUGUUUCACCCAUCCACUGAUUUUUUGGGGAAUCUUCAAAAAAAAUUAAAGCAACAUUUUUUUUUUUAAAAAAGGACUGCAAGAAUGAUGCCUUCACCUCCCCCCUCCCUCAUCCAUCAGCCCUGAUUGGCUGAGAGGCAUGCCAGCAAUUUUGGCUUCACCUCUCAGCGAGGCUUGGUCACAGCUACAUCCGAAGACAUCCAAGACAUAAGAAACGAAGACUCCUUUUGAUUCAAAUUCUUAAUAUUGGGAAGACAGUGAGCAGGUGGCUCAGAACUCGCUUCAAAAGUGCUUUAAAUCAGAAUUAGAUCUGAAUUUAAAUGAACAUACGAACAAAUCAUACAAGCUUAGUAGCUACAUAACUAAAAACAAGUGUGGAAUUUUGACUGUGCUUUGGAUUCCCUUCUUCAUGUUGGUAGGACAUACUGCAUGAGAAUCAUAGCAAGAACAGCAAACCCCUCAAAUCUUUGAUUAGCUCAUGAAAAACAGCAGUGUCAUAAAAACUGCAAAUUGCAUUGAGACCUGUAGUAGAUGUUCUGCAUAUCUAUCUAUAACUGCUUAAUUGAAAGGUAAUAAUUAAAUGAAACCCUAUCUUGAAUGCUGCUAACUUUACAUACACUGCCAUAUAAUCCAGUUCAAAGCAGAUAAUCUGGAUUUUAUAUGGCAGUAUAGAAGGGGCCUGAGAGAGCUUUUGAGUUAGCAUUCAGAGGAGUUAAGGGGUCUUAUUCUUGUUAAAUUAUUUCAUCUUCAAGUUUACUUUUUUUCUGACACACCCUGACUUUCUUGCAUAAAUUUAUAGGAAAAACUUUUGUGAGAAGGCAGAGAAAUGGGCCCCCCUCCCAGUCAUUCCUAAGUGAGCACUGAUUUAAAAGAAACUGGGAAGCAAGCCAUCUAUAACCUCUGAUGACCUCAUUGAUCCCAGUGCUUACUAGUCCAAGGGUGAUAACAUGGAAAGGACUUCCUCUGCAAAGGCCACUUUUACUAUUCACCCUAGGCUUCAAGCAAGGGCAGAUGUAAUCUAUACAAAAUUACAAGUAGUAAUGGGAAUGUGUAUUGUCCUUCUUUUUGGUAACAAGAGUGUCUCCUCUGAAAAUGUGGAAUUGGCCUUGACUGGUGCCAUGCAGCUCAGACUUCCCAACAAUAAAAAGUGAUGGCUCAUUGUUAAUUCUUUGAAGUGUGCUUAAUUCUUCAUUUUAUGGCUGAAACCAUCACAGUAACGUCUCACUCUAUAGUAACAGCUCCUGGUUUAGUAUUAAUCUGAAAGCUGCAAAGAUUGCUCAGGAAUUGUUGCUGCUCAGGGGAAGUAGGCAUUAAGUGUAAACAUCUGAGUAAGAUUUUAGCCGCCAACCUCCAAAGGCCUUUUAACAUUUCCACUCAUGGAUGUCUAGCCAACCAAUUAACUUCUCAGAGGACAUUUUGGAAUUAUCAUGAGUGAAGGUCAGUUUAUUGCCAAUGUUUUUACUGACAAUGACAUAAUACUUUUUGAAUGUAAAAAAAAUUAAAUACAUUAAAAUGCAGAAUUAUACUAAAACUGUUAUUUGAAAACAUAAAAUGAAGAAAACUUUUCCAACUGAAUCAGAACAAGGCUGUACAAAAUUUUAGAAUUUUGGAAGCCCUUGUCACAAAGAGACAACUAUUUGACAUCAGAAGAACAUUCCUCUUUAAAUGAAGAAUUAAUUUCCAGUGGUAUUGUAAAAUGUAUCUCCAGUGAAACAUUUCAGUCAUUUGGCUGAAAAGUUGUUCUCAUUCUGAAAUACAGACAAAUAAAAUAUUUAUUUGUACAGUUUUAUUUUCUUAUUUUUGCACUGAGGUUUUAAAAAUUUGACUGUAAGAAAAAAACCAAAUUAACUGAUCUCCCCAUAUUUAUAUUCACUACUAAGCUGGCCAAAAUAACAACCAGAUGAUGUUCUCAUUGUUGCAAUAUUCUUCAGGGAGUUUUCUAUUGUGCCAUUUUAUUGACAAGAUAUUGGCAGAGAUACUUUUCUGUUCCUAUCAAGAUUAUUGUUUUCUUUUUAAAAGGAAAUUACAUUUAAUGUGAAAAUAAUUAUUAGUGUGUGCUGAAAAACAAACACUGUUGUUAUACCCAAUAUGGUUGAUGACAGGCUUAGUGAAUGCAACUCAUAUCUAUAAGCAUGGAAACAUACAUGGUCCUUUCAUUUAUCUAAAUUCCCACAUCAAGUAAAAUCUAAUGCUGUGGAUCACUGCAACUCAAAAUGGAUAUCAUCAUUUCAAAACUUGAAGAAAUGUAGCUGAUGUGUUUAUGAAUGGGAAAUCACAGUUUUUAUCAAUUUUGUUACAGGUAUCAUUUAACUUCAUUUCUAAGAGGAGGUUAGGAUGUAAAGGGAAGCAAUUGACUAUAUGAAUAAAACAGUCAAAGAAAACAUUGCAAAUGAAGAUCAAAUUUUCAAGGCAUCAUGGGGAUUGAGUUUUGAUCUGAAGCCACUCUGCCUAAGGGAGAGACCGCCAAAUGGCUGUGUAUCUACUCCACCACAGACAUCAGAAGAACUGCAAGAGCAAGAACAAGCCAUGAGAGUAAAGACAAAGAUCCACUCAGAAGAAAAGUGUUCUUACCAUACAUCAAGGGAACCACUGACCACAUAGGGAAGCUGAUGAAGAAACACAACAUACAAACUAUCUACAGACCCACUAAGAAAAUGCUAUUAUUUGAGAACACAGAAAUGCUGGAUCACUCUAAUCAUCACCAUGUCAGACUACAAGGAGAAGCCAUUGAAAUCCACAAGCAUGAAAAUGAUCAAAAUCUGGCUACCAAUAUUAAAAAAACCUCUCAAAUCAGGACAGUAAAUAAAGAACAACACCCAUAAAACAGAGGAAUUCCAGGCAAGAAACAAUCAGGACACCUCCCAACAAAGGAUUCCCCAGGCAGGAAGCAGCCAGGCUUUGAAGUUGCAACGACAUUCAAUGCUAAUCAAGGUGACCAAUUGCAACAUUUACACUUGUCUCAAGCAGACAAAAGUUCUUUCUCCCACCCUGGACACUCCACAGAUAUAUAAACCCCACUUGCCUGUUGCUUAGACCUCACAACCUCUGGGGAUGGCUGCCAUAGAUGUGGGUAAAAUGUCAGGAGAGAAUGCCCCAGGAACAUAGCCAUACAGCCCAGAAAACUCACAGCAACCCAGUGAUUCUUCAACAGCACAUAUCUAAGAGAUGCUGCUGAGUAGCUGAGAUUGGAGCCCAAACUUUAUCCCAAACUUUAUCAUACAUGACAUUUAGAGAUGGAUUAUAGGGGUGUGCAGAAUUUCAUUUGGCGAUUUGGAAUUUGGGAAAAUUUGGGAUUUUCAGCUGGAUCACUGAAAACAGACCAGGCAGGACCUAGCUGAAGCCUUAACCAGAAUGGAUCAAGGGCAGUUGGAUCUUUUGGCUAAUGGGGGCCAUGGGGCUGAGUGGCACUCUUCUUGAGGUAGAGGCUGUGACAUGUGGGCAUCCUUGCUAAUCAGGCAGGAGUAGGUGCCUGGCAAUGGUGUUGGCAGCUCCUCCUCUUUUUUUACUUUUUACAAGAAUAGAAACAUGUUUUAUAUGGAAGAUUGAGGUAUGGAGGACUGCAAAAGAAGACAUGGACUUAUUAAUCUGAAUAGAAGAGCUUUGAUAUAUGAUAUAGCUCAGACCUUUGCAGUGUUCUUCCUUUGACGGUAUACGUCAAGUUGCAUAGGUAUACACAGUUUAACACUCUGUUUCCAAAACGUUGGUGGCUUAUUACCAGAAAUGUAUGUGUAAAGCAGUGAAAGAAAAAAAAAACCUUAGUAGGUUAUCUCUUUCCACAUCUAAGCAUUACUUCUAACUUGUUCUCAGCUAUGUGGCUGAGUGUUGACAUAUGGAGCCUGGCAUGAGGGGUUUUGCCUUGUUUAGAUGUAGUGAUCAAAUUGGUUUGCUGCUGCAACCUACCACAAAAAUAACAAACCCUUCACAAGCCAUACGCUGUAGAUUAUUAAAUGGAAAGUUUCCAAAUAGUAUUAUAAACCUAGUGGCAUUCAGAAUCUGUUCACUCAGCUAUGGGAGAGUGGAUGGGGAAUAUUUUGCAUGUUUGUGUAUUUAGGCAAUUCAGAGAUUAUAUUUUCGCCUUUUAGCAUAUUAUUAUAUGGUGUGCAGUGUUUUUAUUUUAUUUGCUCUCUGCCAUGUUUUCUUAGAACAUAUUUCUGUAGGAAUUGAAUACCCAAGUGAAUGGAUCAUUUGAGGCAUUUUAAGAACUCAAGAGACUUUCAGUUUAUAUUUCUAUUCCCUCUGCUGCAAUUCCCUGGGAGAUGUGGGUGGGGGAUAUCAAUACAGUUAAAAAUGAGAGGUGGUGUUGAUGUUUAUUUACAAGAUUUCCCACUAUUUUAUAGAUAUUUUCACCAGGCUUUCUAAUUUAGAGCAAAACUAUAUGAUUAUAGCAUUUUGAUACUUUAACUGCUACGGUUCCAUGAAAUUCUGGGACUUGUAGUUGGAAGAGGUAGUUAUUUGCCAAAAGGAAUUAGUCUUGAAGUCCAGGGAGAUGUACUAUAAAAUCCUAAGUUCUCCAUUAACCUGCAUGACCUAGGAAUUAAUGGAAUUGAAUCAUGUUAAAAUGAUAUGAUACUGCUAUAAUUGUGCAGCAUGGAUACAGCCUGAAAGAAUGACAUUUUCUUUCCAGGCCUACUUACUGGAAGAGAGAGAUUUAAAUUAUAAUAUACUGGCAUUAUUGCCCUAACCCUAAUGCUGGUUCUAAACCAUGUCUCCAAAAAUUUCUUUGCACUUGGAUCAGGUUGAAAGAAAUACUCCCCAUCCUUGAUCUGGUAGAAGCAACCGAACUGGCAUUACCAAUAAAAUACCAGUCUCAUUGGGAGGUCUGGUGGUAACAGCAAUGUUUUAACUGUUCUACCAAAAACAGAUAAUUGUGGGGUUUAAAUUUGUUACACUGUUCAUAGUUUAGAAGACAAAUGAGUCUGCCAACAACUUUUUGGAACCUUAAAAACAGUUAUGCCACUGAUUUAUAAUACAGUAGAGUCUCACUUAUCCAACAUAAACGGGCCGGCAGAACGUUGGAUAAGUGAAUAUGUUGGAUAAUUAGGAGGGAUUAAGGAAAAGCCUAUUAAACAUAAAAUUAGGUUAUGAUUUUACAAAUUAAGCACCAAAACAUCAUGUUGUACAACAAAUUUGACAGAAAAAGUAGUUCAAUUCGCAGUUAUGCUAUGUAGUAAUUACUGUAUUUACGAAUUUAGCACCAAAAUAUCACGAUAUAUUGAAAACACUGACGACAAAAAUGCGUUGGAUAAGUGAGUGUUGGAUAAGUGAGACUCUACUGUAAUUGUGUUGAAUCUAUUUUCACCUUAAAUGAGAAGAAGUUUAGUUGAAAGGUCCAACACAUUUUUAACCUUUUGACUUGUAAUGCUGGUUUUGUCAUUAAAUUUUAAAACAGUCA